AUUGAACGCUGGCGGCAGGCCUAACACAUGCAAGUCGAGCGAGCGGCGGACGGGUGAGUAAUGUCUGGGAAACUGCCUGAUGGAGGGGGAUAACUACUGGAAACGGUAGCUAAUACCGCAUACCAUCAGAUGUGCCCAGAUGGGAUUAGCUAGUAGGUGGGGGAAUGGCUCACGUAGGCGACGAUCCCGAGCUGGUCUGAGAGGAUGACCGGCCACACUGGAACUGAGACACGGCACAGACUCCAAGGGGAGGCAGCAGUGGGGAAUAUGGGACAAUGGGCGCAAGCCGGAUGCAGCCAUGCCGCGUGUAUGAAGAAGGCCUUCGGGUUGUAAAGUACUUGCAGCGGUGAGGCGUUACCUGCAGAAGAAGCACCGGCUAACUCCGUGCCAGCCGCCGCGGUAAUAC
rnacentral:rRNA from 1 species